CGUCAGUGAAUGCUCAUUAUUAUUCUGUACUAACGAGGCCAAAACAAUAAUGAACUAGCGAAAUCGACAUGGCGAACGCCCACUAUGUCAUAAUUGAUUUUCGCGCCAAAUUUUUCAGUAAGAUUCAAAAUCAGGCAAGUGACACAAGUCGCUCGCUUCCGUCUUUCUCAAGCGCUCCCUUCUUGCUACGCGCGGUCCCUAGCGAGCGACUUGGGCAAGUCUAGAGGGUGGCUUGUUUUGGCUUGAGUGAACUCUCUGUAUAUACUUCCUCUGUGCUUGAACCAAAGAUUAGAUACUAUAAAGAUGUGUCACUCUGCGAAAAUUAUGUCCGAGAUUUUUUUAUAGCCGCCAUUUUGCCAGUAAGUGUCAAAUUCAACGCCAUCAGUCUCUUAAAUAGUAAAAUCCAACGCCAUCAGUCUCGCCGCCAUUUUGGCAGUAAGUGAAAAUUACGGACACGCAAACAUUAGGGAAAUACGUCGAGUGACACAUCUUUAUAGUAUCUAAUCUUUGC